rnacentral:rRNA from 1 species
GGGGGCAGCUACACAUGCAGUCGAGCGGAAACGAGUUAUCUGAACCUUCGGGGAACGAUAACGGCGUCGAGCGGCGGACGGGUGAGUAAUGCCUAGGAAAUUGCCCUGAUGUGGGGGAUAACCAUUGGAAACGAUGGCUAAUACCGCAUGAUGCCUACGGGCCAAAGAGGGGGACCUUCGGGCCUCUCGCGUCAGGAUAUGCCUAGGUGGGAUUAGCUAGUUGGUGAGGUAAGGGCUCACCAAGGCGACGAUCCCUAGCUGGUCUGAGAGGAUGAUCAGCCACACUGGAACUGAGACACGGUCCAGACUCCUACGGGAGGCAGCAGUGGGGAAUAUUGCACAAUGGGCGCAAGCCUGAUGCAGCCAUGCCGCGUGUGUGAAGAAGGCCUUCGGGUUGUAAAGCACUUUCAGUCGUGAGGAAGGUAGUGUAGUUAAUAGCUGCAUUAUUUGACGUUAGCGACAGAAGAAGCACCGGCUAACUCCGUGCCAGCAGCCGCGGUAAUACGGAGGGUGCGAGCGUUAAUCGGAAUUACUGGGCGUAAAGCGCAUGCAGGUGGUUUGUUAAGUCAGAUGUGAAAGCCCGGGGCUCAACCUCGGAAUAGCAUUUGAAACUGGCAGACUAGAGUACUGUAGAGGGGGGUAGAAUUUCAGGUGUAGCGGUGAAAUGCGUAGAGAUCUGAAGGAAUACCGGUGGCGAAGGCGGCCCCCUGGACAGAUACUGACACUCAGAUGCGAAAGCGUGGGGAGCAAACAGGAUUAGAUACCCUGGUAGUCCACGCCGUAAACGAUGUCUACUUGGAGGUUGUGGCCUUGAGCCGUGGCUUUCGGAGCUAACGCGUUAAGUAGACCGCCUGGGGAGUACGGUCGCAAGAUUAAAACUCAAAUGAAUUGACGGGGGCCCGCACAAGCGGUGGAGCAUGUGGUUUAAUUCGAUGCAACGCGAAGAACCUUACCUACUCUUGACAUCCAGAGAACUUUCCAGAGAUGGAUUGGUGCCUUCGGGAACUCUGAGACAGGUGCUGCAUGGCUGUCGUCAGCUCGUGUUGUGAAAUGUUGGGUUAAGUCCCGCAACGAGCGCAACCCUUAUCCUUGUUUGCCAGCGAGUAAUGUCGGGAACUCCAGGGAGACUGCCGGUGAUAAACCGGAGGAAGGUGGGGACGACGUCAAGUCAUCAUGGCCCUUACGAGUAGGGCUACACACGUGCUACAAUGGCGCAUACAGAGGGCGGCCAACUUGCGAAAGUGAGCGAAUCCCAAAAAGUGCGUCGUAGUCCGGAUUGGAGUCUGCAACUCGACUCCAUGAAGUCGGAAUCGCUAGUAAUCGUGGAUCAGAAUGCCACGGUGAAUACGUUCCCGGGCCUUGUACACACCGCCCGUCACACCAUGGGAGUGGGCUGCAAAAGAAGUAGGUAGUUUAACCUUCGGGGGGACGCUUACCACUUUG